UACCAGCACCCCGAGUGGUCGGGACGUUUAUUGGGCCUAAAGCAUCCGUAGCCGGUUCUGCAAGUCUUCCGUUAAAUCCACCUGCUUAACAGAUGGGCCGCGGAAGAUACUAUAGAGCUAGGAGGCGGGAAAGGCAAGCGGUACUCGAUGGGUAGGGGUAAAAUCCGUUGAUCCAUUGAAGACCACCAGUGGCGAAGGCGGCUUGCCAGAACGCGCUCGACGGUGAGGGAUGAAAGCUGGGGGAGCAAACCGG
rnacentral:rRNA from 1 species